rnacentral:tRNA from 1 species
GGGGCUGGGGCUCAGUGGUAGAGUGCUUAUCUUGCACGUGUGAGGCCCUGGGUUCAAACCUCAGCACCA